UAUACAUUUUGUAACUGAAUCCUAUCUCGGAUUUUUUUUUUCUUAUUGAUAGUGAUUUAAGGGAUUUGUAAAUUCUACUUCUAUCGACUCUCGACGAUCGGGACAAUAAUGGCCACAGUAAUAGCCAUCCGCCUAUCUGUAUAUAUGAUUAAAAAAAAAAAUCAAAAUACCAAGGACCAAAUUAACCAAUGCACUAUUGUAAUUUGAUGAACACACAGUUAAUUCACUGUUGGAUUAUUUAGCCGUCUAUUCUAGACACAAAUUUGUUGUUGUCGUGAGUAUUGUAUAAUAGUAUGUUUGACGCAAAGCAAAAAUGUUCUUUGUUCAUCCAAAAUAUUGUCUACCUACCUAAUCAAAUAUUAUUUUCUUUCAAUUGUAAUAAUGGUAUAAUUAUACUAUAACACUACAAUAUAAGUAGAAUAAUAUUAUUAUAGAGUACAUAAAGUAAAAUUUGUAUAAGAAAAGAAAAAUAUAAAACUUAGCAUAUUAGCAUAAAAACAAUUGUUUAUUUGGUAAACGUUUGAUUAAAUUAGGUAGUCGUGCCUAUCAAAACAAAUUUGAACAAAAAUGCUGUCUUCUCCUUUAUAUUUUUAUAAUAAUAAAAUUGUACACUGGUUUAUAAAGUUAAUUUCCAACAGGUUACAUUUUCACUUACUUGUGAUAUACUGUGUUCAUUUACUAGCGACUAUGCAUAUAUCAAAAUUGUACACUGGUUUAUAAAGUUAAUUUCCAACAGGUUACAUUUUCAGUUACUUGUGAUAUACUGUGUUCAUUUACUAGCGACUAUGCAUAUAUCAAAGUAAAAUUACGAACUUAGAUUUCUGAACGGACACCCACUAUCCCUCUGUAAUACAAACUAUUAAUUAUUUAGUCCACAACAAAUUGUCCAAGUCAGUAACAUGUAAAGUAAGUAAAAUAAUAUAGAACACUGUAUUUAAACUAAUAUCAAUAAAUAAAUAAUUUAUUUGUCUAGGUAAUUAUGAUUACUGACGAAACUGUCAUCGAGGUCUUCGACAACCAAAUAUAAUGCCAUUUCUAUUUCCUGGAAAACUAAUAGGCAUUCCUUUGGAUGAAUUAUUCACAAUUUACAAAAAUAAUUAACUCAAACAACAAACUUCCAAAUUGUAUGGGAUAUAUAACUUUCAAAGUCUUACAUUAAUGCCAACAGAAAAUAAGACAGGUUAAAUGUUUAAAAUAAUAAUUUUGUUUAUUUAUUAUUUUAAUUUAAUUUUUAUUGAAUCUUUACAGAUAAUAAUAACCUACAGCCCAUAAAAUUAUCUAAUAAGCAUGGUAACAAUCAGUCAAAAUUGGUAUGGAUUAAGGAAGCUGGUCUUCAGGCAAGCGGAUAUUCAAAAAAUGUUGAAACAAGCAAGAAGAAUGGUGGAUAAAAUUCGGAGUUUUUAUUAG